GCCCCCAUAGCCCAACUGGUAGAGGCAGCCGGCUUAAACCCGGCCGAGUACGGGUUCGAAUCCCGUUGGGGGCA
rnacentral:tRNA from 1 species